GCAGAAGCAUCAGCUGCUACUAUCACUCCCUGGUCACCUGGUCCACCAGAGUCCAGUCCCAGGCUGGUCAGGUAGGAGGAGAGAUCCUCAAUCCCACACCCACUCCCAGAGAUGAGUCCAAGAGGGCAGGUGCCAUCUGUCUCAUGGACCAUGGUGCCCCAGCACCAGGAGGCUGCCUGGUAUUUCGUAGAUCAUAAUUAAAUAUUUAUUGGGGAAAACAAAAAGGGAGAAGGAGAGAACAAGAGCCUAAUUUUGGUUGAAUCUGAUCUAUCAAACAGGACUUGUGAAAACAUCAGCAUGUGUGGUUAUGGCAACAGCAGCCAUCAAAGAGCUCCUGAGGUCUCAGAACCUUCCAGAUGAUCUGGAGUGGAAGGCCUCAUGAAUAGCCUGGCACAGAAGAACCAACUAGAUGACAGCUCUGCUGUGCCUUUCAGGCAAACAAGGGCAUGGAAGCUCCAAGGAGCCAAGGCAGAUCCAGAGAAGCCCAUGGAGCCAGGGCCAAGUCUAGAGCCUGCUAGGUCAGGGAUUUGCAGAAUCCCACUGUUCCCUAUACCACACAGCGACAUCCUGAGGGGCAAACGAUACAAAGGAAUCACAGCACUUGGCAACUUGAAGGCCCAUAAAAAUCCUAGCACAGCUCCUCCAGUGACUGUCUCAAUAGCAGAGGCUUCCUCCUGCUGGGGGUCAUGUUUUUUCAUAGCUUCUAAGAAGUUACCCUACCAAGAUCUUCCUCCACUGGGCAGGAUGUGUGGGUCACGUCCAAGCAGAAAUAAACAGACGCAUGGAAAACCUCUCUGCCUGAGUUGGCCUAAGUCAUGAACCUCAGCAGCAACUAUGACCUCUGUGGCAUGAAAGUCAACACACACAUAUCCAAAUGUACUUUCUCUUAAUGAAGCUUAUUUAAGCCAUAUCCAGUUUUUGUUGGGUUUUACUUUGGAAGUACACACAAAGCAUUUAAAAAAAAAUUCUUUGCUCAUCGACUCUCCCAUCCCUGGCUACCACCCUCCCUUUCUUGGGCCACUGACACAUAUGUAAUCAGUUUGGUGACAAAAGGGUGGCCACUUGUUGACCUAUAACCCUACUGCUCUCAGUUGCAGUGGUUCCUAACACUGAAGUUCUUCCCUCAGCCACAGGAAAGUGAGUCUGUCUAGCCACUGGGCCCUCCCCUGCUCAGCUGGCAGCCUGGCUGUCCCCUGUGACAAAUUUUGGGUGGGCAGCCCCUGUACUGAACCUCCAGCAGCCCAAAUAGCAGAAACCAAGAAAGCUGUGUUUGCCUGUUUUUUUCUGCAAGCACUUGGUGUUCCUCUUAUCCAAAAGGUUUUCAGAGUGGCUCUGCUGCUUUCCUUCUUGUUUUCUUUUUUGCAAUGGCUAAUUCUUCUGCAGAACCGGCUUCUGGGAGGAGACAGCUGCCCUGCUGGGCCACCUGGAUCCUGGCUCUGGGCAUGUUCCCUGUCUGACCUUGACCAGGAAAGUCAGAGUGCAAG
rnacentral:lncRNA from 1 species